GAUGAACGCUGGCGGCGUGCCUAAUACAUGCAAGUCGAGCGAACAGACGAGGAGCUUGCUCCUCUGACGUUAGCGGCGGACGGGUGAGUAACACGUGGAUAACCUACCUAUAAGACUGGGAUAACUUCGGGAAACCGGAGCUAAUACCGGAUAAUAUAUUGAACCGCAUGGUUCAAUAGUGAAAGACGGCUUUGCUGUCACUUAUAGAUGGAUCCGCGCCGCAUUAGCUAGUUGGUAAGGUAACGGCUUACCAAGGCGACGAUGCGUAGCCGACCUGAGAGGGUGAUCGGCCACACUGGAACUGAGACACGGUCCAGACUCCUACGGGAGGCAGCAGUAGGGAAUCUUCCGCAAUGGGCGAAAGCCUGACGGAGCAACGCCGCGUGAGUGAUGAAGGUCUUCGGAUCGUAAAGCUCUGUUAUUAGGGAAGAACAAAUGUGUAAGUAACUAUGCACGUCUUGACGGUACCUAAUCAGAAAGCCACGGCUAACUACGUG
rnacentral:rRNA from 1 species